ACUAGUCAGUUGGAGGAGGAACCAGUAGAGGAAACUGAAAAAGAAAAGAGAAACGAGAAAAAGCCAGAGAAACGAGAGAAAGACCCAUAGAUUGCAGGGUCAGUGAAACCAGAAAAGGGAUUAUUCCAUUGCUGCAGAUGAGGAAAUUGAAGAAUAAGGAGGACAGACCCAAGACCAAAGACGGAGAAACUGAGAAAACAAGGAUGCAUUAAUUCUAAAGCCGGGGUUAGUUUGGUCAACAUCCAUGGAGAAGGUAUUUUUUCAAUCUACAACAUCAAAAACUCUACAAAGGACUUGAAGAAUCAUGGCUUAAGACUUUAAAGGAUUGUCGAUAGCAAUGUUCAGCCACAAAGAUGACUUAGUAGUCUCUGCUCUUCUGUUUUAUCCAGAUUGUCCAGAACACAGACCACAAAACUGGCUCAGCCUUAGCCUCCCUGAGCAUAUGAUGAGAGCCAUGUGUUUUCUGGACAAGCACCUCCUUGGUAUUCUAGGGAGAAGUCUGCAAGAAAAACAGAUAUAUACCACUUCGGAGGAAAUUCAUUCUAAUAUAGGUUGGUUUUAUAUAUUCAGUUCUUUGAAGAAGACCAACAUCAUAUAAAAUGAAGGACAUUAUUUACUUCCCCUUCCUGUAACAGGAUUACAUGUCAUGGACCUGUGACUUGUACCUCCUGCAGAAAGAUGUGCUUCCUAUGUUCUUGACAUUGAGUUUAUCCUUACAACUUGCUUUGGCAUAGCAUGUCAACAGAUGUGAUGAGCCCCAUAACCAAAUACAAUUCCUAAGAGCUCUUGUGUGUUUCUGUCAACCCUGUUUCUCUUUUUCUUCAGCCUAAAGAAAGGAAUUGUCCAUAUUAAGAUCCCUCCUUCAGCCUCCUAGGAUAAAAGACACGUGGAGAAGAGUAGAACCAUCCUUGAACUUCAGUCAACAUAGAAGAUAAACAAGAAACACACUUUUGUUCUUACGAUCCACAGCAAUUUCUGGGAUCACUUGUUACUACAGGACAGAUACAAAUACAAGAAACAAAAUUAACAAUCUGAACAAGGAAAACUGGAAGGAGCAUAAAUAAUUUAAGAGACAAAAAAAAUUCAAGUUCAUAACAGGAAGCUUCAGAUUAUUUUGAGAAAAUAUAUUCAUAAUCAAGAUUAUG